rnacentral:lncRNA from 1 species
ACCUUGGCCUUGAAAAGUUAAUUUUUACAGUUAGUUUUACAUAAAAUUUGGCUUUCGUAUGUUGAGUAUAACUAGGCUAGUGAGAUUUCCUAUCCUAUCCAAAUGCCGAUUACACGAAAGCAGCUUUUCUUGUAAUAUUAUGCUUAGCAGCCAAACAACCUAUAAUUAACACUACCAAUAUAUUUUUGCAUACAAUACGUUUUCAACACACUAUAUGCCCAAAUGAGUAAGCCUGCUUUUCUAUAAUUAAAAAUGUUAAAUAAUGACAAUAUACCAUGGUUAUUAAACCCACUUUUGAUAUACUACUGUGGAAAACUGUCAAACUGUAGGACAAAACUUAACAAUAUUAGUCGGUUGGGUGGUUAUUCUUACUGCAAAUUGCAUUUCUAAAAGGGCCAUAUUUUUACUAAUUAAUGCAUAUAUAUGUUCUUGAAUUAGCUCACUUUCGACGCAAAUUUUUCGCUUCGUUUACGCUAAAAGUGUGUUCAAUUUAUCAAAACAAUUAAAACAUUAACUGAUAUUUCAUUCUAUCAAUAAUAAUUUUGAAAAUAAUUGCGAUUUGCUACAUGCAUGUUUUAAAUAAAUUAACGCAGGCCAAUACAACAGAAAGGAACUGACAAAAUGCAAGAACUAGCCAGCCUUUGUUCAUCUGGUAAAUCUUCAGAUCAAGUCAUGAAAUAGGGAUUUUAAACAGGCUAUACAUAUUGAAAAAUGGAUUUUUUGAAAGCUUUGCUGUCGUUGUCAAGAAACAAGAUAUUAUGUUGCAUUUGUAUAGAAUAGUGGACAACCAUUUCAUUUGCAAAUGGUAGAUCAGAGGUAUCUGUACUGAAGAAUCGCAGUUGGACUUCAAAGACGCAAACUCUUCGGAAUGAACCUACUCCUUCAGAAAUGCCGUGACUAAAAAAGGAUUUUCUGCUUGCUUUAUCGACUUAUGACUAAUAAUUGAAAGACGUAACUGGAAUCAAACUGCACAAACAAAAAAUUCUAUAAGAGGAGCUGUUGAACUUUGAAGACAGCUUUUGCCAUAAGAAUCGCUUAAAACAGAUCGACCAGACAGGGUACAUGAAAGAAUUAGUCCAUACGAAAAAAAAAAUGUUCUUUACUAUCCUGUUUAUCGUUAUAAAAUGUUUCAAUCUAGCAUAGACAAUACAAAAACAAGUUU